GGCCGGCAAGGGCAAGGACCUCCCCCGAGGAUCUCGGCGAAUUGGCAAAUAUGCUGCAGACCCAGGCCACCUCAACCAUGAUGGCGGGCAAAGAAUGGGCAUCAUUUCGCGGCAUCAAAGUUUGUAUAUCCUUGCAAUUAGUUCGAGUGCAUAAGCAUCAGUGGACCUGUGCUACGAGUACGUGGGGCAAAGGACAGAACAGAAAGCGCCGAUGGCUUAAAGGGCAAGGGCCUAUUCUGCAUAUUCGAGGGGUCUUUAGCUCGGCUUAAAAUAGAGUGGACCAAAUGCUUGAACAGCAAGGUUAGUCAAUAAUGGCCUGUAUUUUCCGAUCCAUUUACAGCACAAGGUAAAUAUCAACGAACAACUGAAAAGUGCGUACAGCCACCAAAUCGAAUGGAUAAUGUACAUAUAGAAACAAAAAUAUGUUUCAGGAAUACCAUUAAUAUUUCAAUGUAAUUUCAUAUGGAAACUGUAACGCUCCAUAUCCAUAUCUACCACUAAAAGCAGGGAUCGUAAGGCUUAUAGGAUUAUUUGUAUAAGGCAAAUUAUGAAAUAAAAUUUUAUUCUGGUUUUUAUUAUUUAUAAAUU